rnacentral:misc_RNA from 1 species
UAGAAGACCAAAACUUUUUUUUUUUGGAUGAUAUGCAACAUAACUGUAUAGAACGAGUAACAAAUGAGUUCCUAGAGUAGGUUAAUCGCUUAAUGUCCAAAUGUGCAACCAUUCAGCCCUGCUUGGGUUAUUCCUAUUUUAAAAAGCACAUGCUGUUUAUUUAGUUGUUCUCUUGUUUCCUUUAGGAUUUAUAUUAGUUUAGAUUGAGAAUUUAGAGAAAUAAAGAAG